rnacentral:rRNA from 1 species
AGGCAUGCAAGUUGAGCGCGAAAGUUAUCUUCGGACAACGAGUAGAGCGGCGGAAGGGCGAGUAACGCAUGGGCAACGUACCCUAGGCACAGGGAUAGCUGCGGGAAACUGCAGGUAAUACCUGAUGAGACCACAGUGUCGUAUGGCACAGCGGUCAAAGGGCGGGGAUCCUUCGGGACCUGCCGGCCUGGGAGCGGCCCAUGUCCUAUCAGCUUGUUGGUGAGGUAACGGCUCACCAAGGCUACGACGGGUACCGGGGCUGAGAGGUCGGCCCGGCGCACUGGGACUGAGACACUGCCCAGACUCCUACGGGAGGCUGCAGCAACGAAUAUUCCGCAAUGGACGCAAGUCUGACGGAGCGACGCCGCUUGUGGGAAGACGGCCCUCGGGUUGUAAACCACUGUCAGGGGUUACCAAGCAAAGAGAGUUAAUAGCUCUCGGCGUUGAGGAGCCCCAGAGAAGCCACGGCUAACUUCGUGCCAGCAGCCGCGGUAAUACGAAGGUGGCGAGCGUUGUUCGGAAUCACUGGGCUUAAAGAGCACGUAGGCGGCCUGUCAAGCGUCUUGUGAAAUCCCUCGGCUCAACCGAGGAAUUGCUGGGCGAACUGGCAGGCUUGAGGCAGGUAGGGGCGCGUGGAACUCUUGGUGGAGCGGUGGAAUGCGUAGAUAUCAAGAGGAACGCCGGAGGUGAAAACGGCGCGCUGGGCCUGUUCUGACGCUGAGGUGCGAAAGCCAGGGGAGCGAACGGGAUUAGAUACCCCGGUAGUCCUGGCCCUAAACGAUGUCCACUCGGCCGGAGUAAUUCUGACAUUUUUCCGGUUCAAGCGAAAGCGUUAAGUGGACCGCCUGGGGAGUACGGUCGCAAGGCUAAAACUCAAAGGAAUUGACGGGGGCUCACACAAGCGGUGGAGCAUGUUGCUUAAUUCGAUGCAACGCGAAGAACCUUAUCCUGGGUUUGACAUGUGCGGAUGCCUACUGGGAAACCAGGUCGGCUGACCUUCGGGUUGAAACGUACACAGGUGCUGCAUGGCUGUCGUCAGCUCGUGUCGUGAGAUGUUGGGUUAAGUCCCGUAACGAGCGAAACCCCUGUCGCUAGUUGCCAGCAGGCCUUCGGGCGCUGGGGACUCUAGCGAGACUGCCGGUGUUAAACCGGAGGAAGGUGGGGAUGACGUCAAGUCCUCAUGGCCUUUAUGCCCAGGGCUGCAAACGUGCUACAAUGGCCGGUACAAACCGACGCGAACCCGCGAGGGAGAGCAGAUCGGAAAAAACCUGCCCCAGUUCGGAUUGGAGUCUGCAACUCGACUCCAUGAAGUUGGAAUCGCUAGUAAUCGCGUAUCAGCGUGACGCGGUGAAUAUGUUCCUGAGCCUUGUACACACCGCCCGUCAAGUCAUGGAAGCCGGGAGCGCGCGAAGUCGGGGCGUUUCAGCCCUGCCGAACGUGAGCUCGGUAACUAGGACUAAGUCGUAACAAGGUA